rnacentral:rRNA from 1 species
AUUGAACGCUGGCGGCAGGCCUAACACAUGCAAGUCGAACGGUAACAGGAAACAGCUUGCUGUUUCGCUGACGAGUGGCGGACGGGUGAGUAAUGUCUGGGAAACUGCCUGAUGGAGGGGGAUAACUACUGGAAACGGUAGCUAAUACCGCAUAACGUCGCAAGACCAAAGAGGGGGACCCUCGGGCCUCUUGCCAUCGGAGGUGCCCAGAUGGGAUUAGCUUGUUGGUGGGGUAACGGCUCACCAAGGCGACGAUCCCUAGCUGGUCUGAGAGGAUGACCAGCCACACUAGAACUGAGACACGGUCCAGACUCCUACGGGAGGCAGCAGUGGGGAAUAUUGCACAAUGGGCGCAAGCCUGAUGCAGCCAUGCCGCGUGUAUGAAGAAGGCCUUCGGGUUGUAAAGUACUUUCAGCGGGGAGGAAGGGAGUAAAGUUAAUACCUUUGCUCAUUGACGUUACCCGCAGAAGAAGCACCGGCUAACUCCGUG